rnacentral:rRNA from 1 species
CCAGACUUGACAUGCAGUGGACGUGUGUGGAAACACACAUUCCCUUCGGGGCCGCUGCACAGGUGCUGCAUGGCUGUCGUCAGCUCGUGUCGUGAGAUGUUGGGUUAAGUCCCGCAACGAGCGCAACCCUUGUCCUUAGUUGCUAACAGGUGAUGCUGAGCACUCUAAGGAGACUGCCGGUGAUAAACCGGAGGAAGGUGGGGAUGACGUAAGUCCUCAUGGCCCUUACGUCUGGGGCUACACACGUGCUACAAUGGUCGGUACAAAGGGUUCCGAAACCGCGAGGUGGAGGCAAUCCCAAAAAACCGGUCUCAGUUCGGAUUGCAGUCUGCAACUCGACUGCAUGAAGUCGGAAUCGCUAGUAAUCGCUGAUCAGCAGGCAGCGGUGAAUACGUUCCC